rnacentral:lncRNA from 1 species
AAAUUUUAUUUUAAAAAAUAAAAAAUAAAUAGGGAAAACUUUAAAUACCCCCUUGUGGUUUCACUUUUUUUCACUUUAGUACCCUAUGGUUUAAAGUGUAUCAAGUUAGUACCCUGUGGUUUUGCACUUUUUCACUUUAAUACCUGUGGUUUAAAGUGUAUCAAGUUAGUAUCCUGUGGUUUCACACUUUAUUACUUUAGUACCCUGUGGUUUCACACUUAUCACUUUAGUACCCUGUAGCUUAAAAAUCAUAGGGUACUAACUUGAUACAAAAAUAAAAUUAUAGGAUACUAACUUGAUACAAAAAUAACCACAGAAUACUAACUUGAUACACUUUAAACCACAGGGUAUUAAAGUGAUAAAGUGAGAAACCACAUGGUACUAAUUUGAUAUACUUUAAAGUGUAGAGUACUAAAAUGAAAGAAUGUAAAACCACAAGAGGGGUUUUUGAAGUUUUCCCAAAUAAAUAUGAUGCCCUAUGAGAUUUUAGAGUUUAGUUUUGUUUCCAAAAAGCCUUAACAUUUAUGAUUAGAUAGGAUAGUUUUAUUUAUAAAAUAAUUUAUCUUAGUUGAAAACGUAAGUUAGGCUUACUAUGAUAUUGAGAUCUAUCUAACGUUAUUAGACAAAUGGAGUUGAAAAAAAUAUAUAUAGGGAUAUGCUUCUUCUUUCUCUGGUGGGAAAGCAGAAAGUAUAUUAUAACCGAUAAUAUAACCGACUUAUUGCGAUAUGCGGAACGCAAUAUUACUUAUGAAAACAAAUAUGGUAUUUUUUCAACGUAUUUUCUUACCGCACGUAAUGCAAUCUCCCCGCAAUCCCAAACGAAGCUUUAGUCAACUAUUUUAUUCCACUUCAGAUAUUUGAUU